rnacentral:rRNA from 1 species
GACGAACGCUGGCGGCGUGCUUAACACAUGCAAGUCGAACGGAAAGGCCUUUUCGGAGGUACGCGAGUGGCGAACGGGUGAGUAACACGUGGGUGAUCUGCCCUGCACUCUGGGAUAAGCCUGGGAAACUGGGUCUAAUACCGGAUAGGACCGCACUUUAGUGUGUGUGGUGGAAAGUUUUUUCGGUGUAGGAUGAGCCCGCGGCCUAUCAGCUUGUUGGUGGGGUAAUGGCCUACCAAGGCGGCGACGGGUAGCCGGACUGAGAGGUUGGUCGGCCACAUUGGGACUGAGAUACGGCCCAGACUCCUACGGGAGGCAGCAGUGGGGAAUAUUGCACAAUGGGCGCAAGCCUGAUGCAGCGACGCCGCGUGGGGGAUGACGGCCUUCGGGUUGUAAACUCCUUUCGCCAGGGACGAAGCGUUUUGUGACGGUACCUGGAGAAGAAGCACCGGCUAACUACGUG